AUAAGCGGAGGAAAAGAAACUAACCAGGAUUCCCUUAGUAACUGCGAGUGAACAGGGAAAAGCUCAAAUUUAAAAUCUGGCAGUCUUUAACUGUCCGAGUUGUAAUCUAGAGAAGUGUUUAUCUGCGCUGGACCGUGUACAAGUCUCCUGGGAUGGAGCAUCAUAGAGGGUGAGAAUCCCGUCUUUGACACGGACUGCCGGGGCUUUGUGAUGCGCUCUCAAAGAGUCGAGUUGUUUGGGAAUGCAGCUCAAAAUGGGUGGUAAAUUCCAUCUAAAGCUAAAUAUUGGCGAGAGACCGAUAGUGAACAAGUACCGUGAGGGAAAGAUGAAAAGAACUUUGGAAAGAGAGUUAAACAGUACGUGAAAUUGCUGAAAGGGAAACGCUUGAAGUCAGUCGCGUUGGCCAGGGAUCAUCCCUUGCUUUUGCUUGGUGUACUUUCUGGUUGAUGGGUCAGCAUCAAUUUUGACUAUUGGAGAAAGGUCAAGGGAAUGUGGCAUCUUAGGAUGUGUUAUAGCCCUUGGUUGCAUACAAUGGUCGGGAUUGAGGAACUCAGCACGCCGAAAGGCGGGAUUUUUUAAUCACAUACGUGCUUAGGAUGCUGACACAAUGGCUUUAAUCGACCCGUCUUGAAACACGGACCAAGGAGUCUAACAUACCUGCGAGUAUUUGGGUGGAAAACUCAAGUGCGUAAUGAAAGUGAAAGUUAAGAUCCCUGUUAUUGGGGAGCAUUGACGCCCGGACCAGACCUUUUGCGACGGUUCCGCGGUAGAGCAUGUAUGUUGGGACCCGAAAGAUGGUGAACUAUGCCUGAAUAGGGUGAAGCCAGAGGAAACUCUGGUGGAGGCUCGUAGCGAUUCUGACGUGCAAAUCGAUCGUCAAAUUUGGGUAUAGGGGCGAAAGACUAAUCGAACCAUCUAGUAGCUGGUUCCUGC
rnacentral:rRNA from 2 species